rnacentral:rRNA from 1 species
UACAGAGGUCCCAAGCGUUGUUCGGAUUCACUGGGCGUAAAGGGUGCGUAGGUGGCGGGGUAAGUUUGAUGUGAAAGCUCCGAGCUUAACUCGGAAAUGGCAUUGAAUACUAUCUUGCUCGAGGUUUGGAGGGGGACUGGAAUUCUCGGUGUAGCAGUGAAAUGCGUAGAUAUCGAGAGGAACACCAGUGGCGAAGGCGAGUCCCUGGACAACACCUGACACUAAGGCACGAAAGCUAGGGGAGCAAACAGG